rnacentral:rRNA from 1 species
UCUCUGCGCGGAAAAUUUAACGGGGCUAAGAUACAAACCGAAGCUUAGGCUGCACGUAAGUGCGGGGUAGGGGAGCGUUGUGUAAGCGGAGAAACAGUAGCGUAAGCGGCUGUGGAGUUUACAGAAGUGAGAAUGCCGGAAUGAGUAGCGCGAAUGUGGUGAGAAUCCACAUGGCCGGAAACCUCAGGUUUUUGGAGGAAGGUUCGUCCGCUCCAAGUUAGGCGGGAGCUAAGGUAAGGCCGAAAGGCGUAGCCGAUGCACAGACGGUAGAGAUUCCGUCCCCACCGAAAGACUUAAGCACAGGGACACUUUCAGAAGGUCGGAGCCAGGUGUUGGUUCUGGUAGUGAUCGAGGGAAAUAUAGUACCGAAGUCCGGCUGGAAGAGAGGCGAGAAAAGCUGUGUGUAUGUUUAAGGUGCCCGUACCGCAAACCGACACAGGUAGGUAGGAAGAAGAUUCUAAGGCCAACGGGAGAAGGGUUGUUAAGGAACUCGGCAAGUUGACCCCGUAACUUCGGAAUAAGGGGUGCUCACGAGAGUGAGCCGCAGAGAAUAGGCCCAGGCAACUGUUUACCAAAAACACAGGUUUGUGCUAAAUCGAAAGAUGACGUAUACGAGCUGACGCCUGCCCGGUGCUGGAAGGUUAAAAGGAGAUGUGCAAGCAUUGAAUUGAAGCCCCAGUGAACGGCGGCCGUAACUAUAACGGUCCUAAGGUAGCGAAAUUCCUUGUCAGGUAAGUUCUGACCCGCAUGAAAGGCGUAAUGAUCUGGGCACUGUCUCAACAGCCCGCCCGGCGAAAUUGUAGUACCGGUGAAGAUGCCGGUUACCCGCGACAAGACGGAAAGACCCCAUGGAGCUUUACUGUAGCCUGAUAUUGGGUUUCGGUGUUGCAUGCACAGGAUAGAUGGGACGCUGGGAAAGAGUCGCUUUGGCGAUUCUGGAGCGGACGUUGGGAUACCAUCCUUGCGACAUUGGAAUUCUAACCUGCGCCUCUGAAUCGAGGCGGGGGACAUUGUCAGGUGGGCAGUUUGACUGGGGCGGUCGCCUCCUAAAAAGUAGCGGAGGCGUUCAAAGGUUCGCUCAGCUUGGACGGAAACCAAGCUAGAGAGUGCAAACGCAAAAGCGAGCCUGACUGCGAGACUGACGGGUCGAGCAGAGACGAAAGUCGGAGUUAGUGAUCCGGUGGUAUGUGAGUGGAAAUGCCAUCGCUCAACGGAUAAAAGCUACCCUGGGGAUAACAGGCUGAUCUCCCCCAAGAGUCCACAUCGACGGGGAGGUUUGGCACCUCGAUGUCGGCUCAUCGCAUCCUGGGGCUGAAUUCGGUCCCAAGGGUUUGGCUGUUCGCCAAUUAAAGCGGUACGCGAGCUGGGUUCAGAACGUCGUGAGACAGUUCGGUCCCUAUCUGUCGUGGGCGCAGGAUAUUUGAGAGGCGCUGUCCCUAGUACGAGAGGACCGGGAUGGACGAACCUCUGGUGCACCAGUUGUCACGCCAGUGGCACAGCUGGGCAGCUAUGUUCGGAUCGGAUAAACGCUGAAAGCAUCUAAGCGUGAAGCCGGCCUUAAGAUAAGAUAUCCCACUGAGUCAAUCAGGUAAGACCCCUUGAAGACUACAAGGUUGAUAGGCACAGAGUGUAAGCGGAGUGAUCCGUUCAGCUAGUGUGUACUAAUAGGUCGAGGGCUUGACCC